rnacentral:rRNA from 1 species
GACGAACGCUGGCGGCGUGCCUAAUACAUGCAAGUCGAGCGAAGUUUUUCUGGUGCUUGCACCGGAAAAACUUAGCGGCGAACGGGUGAGUAACACGUAAAGAACCUGCCUCAUAGACUGGGACAACUAUUGGAAACGAUAGCUAAUACCGGAUAAUAGCAUUAACUGCAUGGUUGAUGUUUAAAAGUUGGUUUUGCUAACACUAUGAGAUGGCUUUGCGGUGCAUUAGCUAGUUGGUGGGGUAAAGGCCUACCAAGGCGACGAUGCAUAGCCGACCUGAGAGGGUGAUCGGCCACACUGGGACUGAGACACGGCCCAGACUCCUACGGGAGGCAGCAGUAGGGAAUCUUCCGCAAUGGGCGAAAGCCUGACGGAGCAACGCCGCGUGAGAGAAGAAGGAUUUCGGUUCGUAAAGCUCUGUUGUUAGGGAAGAAUGAUUGUGUAGUAACUAUACACAGUAGAGACGGUACCUAACCAGAAAGCCACGGCUAACUACGUG